rnacentral:rRNA from 1 species
GAUGAACGCUGGCGGCGUGCCUAAUACAUGCAAGUCGAGCGGUCCUUCCCUCGGGAAGGACAGCGGCGAACGGGUGAGUAACACGUGGGUAACCUGCCCGCAAGACCGGGAUAACUCCGGGAAACCGGAGCUAAUACCGGAUAAUCUCUUCCGCCGCAUGGCGGAAGAGUAAAAGGCGGCCUCUGCUGUCCCUUGCGGAUGGGCCCGCGGCGCAUUAGCUGGUUGGUGAGGUAACGGCUAACCAAGGCGACGAUGCGUAGCCGACCGGAGAGGGUGAUCGGCCACACUGGGACUGAGACACGGCCCAGACUCCUACGGGAGGCAGCAGUAGGGAAUUUUCCGCAAUGGGCGAAAGCCUGACGGAGCAACGCCGCGUGAGCGAGGACGGCCUUCGGGUUGUAAAGCUCUGUUCUUGGGGAAGAGAUCCCGGGAGGCGAACAACUUCCCGGACUGACGGUACCCAAGGAGAAAGCCCCGGCUAACUACGUGCCAGCCGCCGCCGUAAGAC